ACUGGGUGUGGUGGUGCACACCUGAAAUCCCAGCAGCUUGGGAGGUUGAGGCAGGAGGAUUGUGAGUUCAAAGCCGGCCUUAG
rnacentral:sRNA from 1 species